GCCUCACUGGCUCAGUGGGUGGGGCGUAUGGCUCUUGAACUUGGGAUUGUGGGUUCAAGCCCCAUGUUGGGUA
rnacentral:tRNA from 1 species